rnacentral:rRNA from 1 species
UACGUAGGUGGCAAGCGUUGUCCGGAAUUACUGGGCGUAAAGAGCGCGCAGGCGGUCGAUCAAGUCGCGUGUGAAAGCCCCCGGCUCAACUGGGGAGGGUCACGCGAUACUGAUCGACUCGAAGGCAGGAGAGGGUAGUGGAAUUCCCGGUGUAGCGGUGAAAUGCGCAGAUAUCAGGAAGAACACCAAUGGCGAAGGCAGCUCUCUGGGACGGUACUGACGGCUGAGACGCGAAAGCGUGGGGAGCGAAC